AAUUAAUUUCAAAUCACGCAAAAUCCAGAUAACACAGAUCUGUGUUAAAAAAUUACACAGGUUGUGGAACAGUUCCGGCUUUCAAAAGUGGGUAAUUUUUUUACACAGAUCUGUGUAAAAAGUUACACAGAUUUUCGAUCAGCCUUCCUUUCAAAUCUGGGUGAAAAAGAUAAGAUGGCGUUUUCCUGCAACAUUGACGAAACUUGACUUUUUUGACGAAAUGACCAGUUGUUGCAUCGUAAUUGAACUGGAAUUGGCCCCAUUGCAGAGAAAUGAUUACUCGAAAAUUUAUAAUGCUCCCGUUGAUCGUCUUGCAUGCACGCCGAUUCCGCCUGAAUUUACCACCUCGGAACAUCUCCGGACUGGAAAACCUGGUGCUUCAAGGUCAGCGGCACUAUCUCCCGUGGAAGCUGCUCUACGACAGGAGGACAUUUAUCAGGUCGAUUUUGUGACGGUGAAGCACUUUUUUAAAAUAGAUUGUAGCCUUAUAUUUAGUUAAUGAAAUGUAUAAGAGAAACUUGAAAUAAUAAUUCAUGGCAACAUG